AACGCAUCUUGCACUCUGGGGUAUUCCCUAGGGUAUGUCUGUCUGAGUGUUAUUUGAACUCUCAAAGUUCCUUUUCUUUAAUCGGAUGAGGGUGCUUUGGAUUAUGGGUGUUUGCGGGCUUGGCCUGCUUGCCUCAAAUCGAAUGUGGCAGUCUUCUCUGAAGCCACCGUCAGGUUUGACCCGGAGUGAUAGAAGUCUUUCGAGAUCUCUGGGGAACCGCCUUUGAGGCGGUGCCUGGUGUGGUGGGAGUGGAGUGAGUGUUUUUCAACAGACUUAUUUGACGUUUUUGACCUCAGAUCAGGCAGGACUACCCGCUGAACUUAA
rnacentral:misc_RNA from 1 species